AGAGACUCUGGGAUCAUAGCAAAAGGCUACUGCUGGAGAGGCCACCAUAUCCUGGCAGCAAGAAAGGGCAGAGUGGAAGUUCACUUUAGGCAGGCAUUGGAGGACUUUCCCGGUUUGUUCUACUCUGUACUGCCGUUAAAAACAACAACAUCAGCAACAACAACAUGUAUAUAAUUGAGGUUAAGAACUCCUUUCUUAAAGGAUGAUCAAGUGAGGCUGUGUUAAAUCCUGAAAGGCAGUUCCUAAAGUCUCCGUGCAGAACAUCCUGCCUCCCAUCUCUGCAGAUCUGGAAGCCAUUAGCUGUAGUUGGCUGAUCUCAGUUCCUGAAGGAAGGAGGGCGGAACACCAGUCUCUAAGGUAACGAGCACAGACAAGCUGGUAAACAUGUAUAUGUCGUCACCAUUGCCUGCCUGCGGAGAUAGCACCAGAAUGGAUUGACUUUGGGAGCUUUAAACUUUAAGACUGAAAUCAUUUGCAUAAUGAUGAAUAAACUGUAUGUUGAGAGUCA
rnacentral:lncRNA from 1 species